rnacentral:lncRNA from 1 species
CGGCCUCGGCCAGCCCAGGAAGGGGCUCCCACAGUGCAGCGGCGGGCUAAAGGUCUCCUACAGCGCCGCCAAAAUGUGAGCCCAGGCAGAGGAGGCGCCGAGAGUGAGCAAGGGCUGCCAGGGCUGUCAGCAUGCUGUCACCUCUCAAAAUGGUACCAGAAAUUUGAGAUGCAUACUAUGGAACUUCUGGAGAGUGAUGACUGCCAGGGAAAAUGGCCAGCUUAGGCUUCGUGAGGAUCUUUCAGGAUGGCUUCCUAGCACAGCCUGUGGCAGCUCAUCAGGGAACAAAGAAGAAAUGACAGUGUCCCUGCCCUUGAGAAGCUGAUACUCCAGUGAGAGAAGAAAACAGGCAAAGAGAAAGAUGUCACGAUGACAAAGUAACAUUGAAAUGAAUGUAGAAGAUAAUUGUGGGGGUUCGGUAAGGUGGGAAUGAGUAGAGUGCAUUGAAGUGAGACUCACCCUGGAACCCUGUCCAGUGAUACUGUCUUAGUCGGUUCUGGCUACUAUAAUGAAAUACCAUAGACUGGCUGGCAUGUAAAUAACAUAAACUUAUGUCUCACAGUUCUGAAGGCUUGGAAGUCCAAGAUCAAGACACCAGCAAAUUUUGUGUCUGGUGAAGGCCCACUUUCUGGUUCAUAGAUGGCACCUUCUAGCUGUUUCCUUAUACGACAGAAGGGGCUAGCUAGAUUUCUGGGAUCUCUUUUAUAAAGGCAUUACAAAUUGUGAGGGCUGCAUGCUUAUGACCUAAUCAUCUCCCGAAGACCCUAUCUCUUAAUACCAUCACCUUGAGGGUUAGGAUUUCAACAUGAGAAUUUUGAGAGGACACAUUCAGACCAUAGCAAAUACCAAGCUUUUUAUGGAUUCAUACUAUUUCAGAGAAUUAUACUGGUUGGCUAUAUCCUUAUUUCGAUUAUUACUAUCACCUUAAAAAAGGGAUUCUCAACUUUGAGCAUUACUGACAUUUUGGGCCAGAUCAUUUUGUUGUGGGGGCUGUCCUGUGUAUUGUAGGAUGUCUAGCAAUAUCCCUGGCCCCUCCCCACUAGAUGCCACUAGCACCUUGUCUACUACUCCUCCCCGCGCCCCCUACUUCCUCAGUAUGAUGACCCCAAAUGUUUCCAGACCUUACCAAAUGUUCCCUGUUGGGCCAGUUGCCCCCGGUUGAUGACCAUUGUGUUUAAAGAAUUCAUUUCAACUAUUUUAUCGGCCCCUAAGGCACCAGCCUCCCUCUGAGGCUGUGUCCAUGGGAAUGCUAUCUGUGGCUGCUUGCGGAUCUCUCCAGCACUGACUGGCUAAGUCACACUGGCAGCCAUGGGUGAGACUUCCUCAACGUGGGUGGAGCAAAUUCCUACGAUGCCAGGCUGCAAGGUUGCAUUUCUGCAUUUCUAGGUGUCGGGGAUGCCUUGAUUAUUUUCCAAAGUAAUCUAAAUUUUGUCUCCAGGGAUCCUUGCCCCUCCUAAAUGGGUAUUAUCUGGGAAUAAGACAGCUCAAUUGUUUAUGGAGCCUUUAUUUAAUAUUUGACAAUAUCUAGGAGAAAGUCACAAACACUUAGUUCAAUUAUUAAAAUAAAGCCUGUAGGGUAUCUCCCCAAAAGAGUAUCCCAGAAUCAUUAUUUUAAUUUAAGCAUAAUUAUAAAAGGGGGCUGGGAAGCCUGCAGUAGGGGGAGAUAAAUUUUCAAGUGUCAUUUUAGGAAAACAAAGGCUUUGCAAGAGAAAACAUCCACUUUCCCCCCUAGUUGCAGGCUUAAUGUUAUUAAUAAGUUAGAUGUCAGAUGUAUGCUGUUAUUGGCAGCAUGCAUACAAUUUAAAUAUUUUAGCUUUCAUUAUACAACUGAAUCUACAUGACUGAACUUCAAGGGCCCCAUUCAUAAGGGAUGAGGAGAGGGAACAAUCAGCUACUUCAUGCAAGGGCUGGCCAGCAGACUGGGUUUCCCCACAUUGUCAGACAAACCACGACACAGGGAAGGCUUUGGAGACGCUCUAACAUGGCAGGGUUGGGACAGAGAAUGAUGGGGGUGGGGGGCACCCUUUUGGGGCAGGGAGAGAGCCAAGGCUUGUUUUUCUUUUGGAAAAAAAGCUAUUCCAUCUUUGUUCCAAGGGAGAAUGAAAUAUCCAUUAAGACUGGUGACACUGGGAAUUUUGUUUUGGCUCAGUUCCUUUUGUUGUGACUCCACGGUAAAGGAGAGGAAUCUGGGGUAAGGAGGUUUCAAGCCAAGAUGAGAAAGAAAAAGCAUGCCUUCCAAGGAUUUCUUCUAUUGUCUCCCGGAGAAUAAAUAUUUAUAGAGAGGGUUCAAGUGAAGUCUGUCUCAAUGGUUGUGGCUUUAAGACUAAGCCUUUGAGAGAGUGCAUGUAAAACUAUGCUUAAAUGAAGGGUGAUCCAAUUAGGCUUCUCAGGGAAAACCAAGAAACCUCAAGAUAAUUUCCUAUCUGAAAUCUAAUUGUGUCCUCAAGUAGAAUAUGAAUACCACUUUGAAUUACCCCAGAUCCAUAGACGGCAGCAAAAAUGUACAGCCAAAUUGGAUUCUAUUUUAAGUAAUUAAGUUAUUUCCCUUCACAGGAUCUAUAAUUUGCCUUGAACAAAUGUGAUUUGCCUCAGAAAGAUAAGGCAUUGCAAUUUUUCCUCCAAAAUGGAUUUUCUGUGCCAGAAACAAUUACUAAAAGUAGACCAAAUAUUGUCGUAAUUAUAUCCUACUUAUUAUCUGAGUGCAUGCCUGGAGUGUACCCUGUUUGUGUUCCAAUGUGAGGUAGGUAUGGCUAGAGUUUAGAAAUUAUCUUUAAAUAGAAACCAAAGCUGAAAUUUACUCAAGAGCCUGGGGCUUGCACAAUGGUCGUGUUAAUAGCAACGGGUGGUUACAUAAGUCUCCAAAAUCUUGUGCAAAAUGUGAGCAACAGGGAGCUUGCUUCAGUGGACCUUCCUUCUGACUCUAACAAAUAUCAGUAUUAACUUGUAGCUGCUUGGCUGAGUCCUUGAGGAGGUGCUAGGUGUUGCGAUAGUUUAAGAAUAAAAGUGUUGAGAUUUGCAUAGAAGAUAUUACAAGAGGAGUAUUUUGGUCAUGGUUAAUUUUAUGAAGAAAACAUUCACUUUUGGCUUUCUUUAUUAGCAGUUCAGUUGACUUAUGCCCAGGUGUUCUGAAGGGCAAUAGUAGGUAAGAGUUAAGAGCAAGAGCUGGAACAAUAAACAGAAUUAGUUCUUGGCUUUGCCCCCUUGAAAGUGCAAUGUAUGGAAAGUCUCUGAAUCUCAGUUCUCUUGUCUGUGAAAAGGGAGUGAUGGUUAUCUACACUGAGGAUACUGGAUGAGGAAAGCACACACCGUCUGGCAUUGCACAGACCUGGGUUUCACAAGUGGAUGGUGGAGUAAAAUCCAAACACGACUGCAUACCUUUUCUUCUUUAUACAUGCUUAUCCUCUGAAAGAUGACCUUUCAUACAAAUAGGUGCUGGCUGGCCAUUUCUAAACUUCCAUUUGAAUUUAAAGUGGUGAAGGCUUCAGAUUCGUUAAGUCAUGUUACCUGGUUUAAAAUACAGGAUUUGAUACUUACUACAUGCCUUUAACCAAGUUACUUAGGCUUUCUGUGCCUCCGUUUCCUCUUCUAUAAAAUGUAAUUAGUAACAGAAGCAGAAUCUAUCAGAGUUGUGAUAAGGGGUAAGUAAAAUAUUACAAUGAAAUACCUAGGAUAGUGCUUUGCAUACCAUAAAUGUAUUACUUUUGUCUUCUACUAGCCAAAAGAAUGUCAACAGAAAUCAGAACAUAACACUAAGUAAGUUUAACAUGUACUUUUAUUAACAACUUAAUACAAGACUGUACACUGUAGGUGCUGAAAUCAACCCACUCCUGAAAACUGAAAAACCAGCAUUUCUAUACCACUUUGGGCUUUGGUUAUAAGUGCCAUCUUCUACAGCAAAAUCACGUCUUAAGAACAGGAAAAACGUUCCACGGGAAUGGAGAGAUUAUCUAUGCAUAAACAGCUGGGGAUCAUUUCUAGCUUUACGUGAUUCACUACACGCUCUGGAAUGUUCAGUUCCCUUUUCUACAGUCCUACCACGAGACAUACAGCAACUAAGAACUUGGCCACAGGUCCUGCCUAGACACACAUCAAUAUGAAACAAAAAAAA